UCGUCUUCGCUCCCAUAUAUCUCUCUCUCUCUCUCUCUCUCUCUAAUCUCUUGUGUGAUCUUUAUCAUCUUGAAGAAAGCUCAAGGAGGUUGAAGCAUUUUCAAUUCAAAUUUGAAUUUCUAAGACUCCAGUUAGUGAAGAAAAACUGAAAGUGAUUGAAUUGAUUUUUGGAUGCUUGGUUGUGAGAGACAAUGGCGUUGUUUUUUAUGAGGAAAGCUUCGACAGCUGAGUUGGAUGCUUUCUAUCCACUUAGACCAGAAUGCCAAGUUGAUGUCCCGAAGACCCAGUUUAGGCUCAGGGCUGGGAAAACUCUUAGUGCAAGAAGAUGGCAUGCUGCCUUCUCUGAAGACGGUCACUUGGAUAUAGCCAAAGUACUAAGACGAAUCCAACGAGGGGGUGUCCAUCCUGCAAUCAAAGGUGUAGUCUGGGAAUUCUUGUUAGGUUGCUUUGAUCCAAAUAGCACAUUUGAUGACCGGAAUCAGCUCAGGCAGCGCCGGAGGGAGCAGUACAGCAGAUUGAAAUCUGAAUGCCAAAAGAUGGUUCCAGUUAUUGGCAGUGGAAAAUUUCUUACAACACCAAUCAUCACAGAUGAUGGCCAACCAAUAGAAGAAUCAGCAAAUGGCAAUAUAAGUAACUAUGGAGGGGAUGCAAACCAUGCUACUUCAGACAAGAAAGUGAUUCAGUGGAAGCUUUUCUUGCAUCAAAUUGGUUUGGAUGUUGUUCGCACAGAUCGAUCACUUGUCUUUUAUGAGAGUCAAGCUCAUCAGGCAAAACUUUGGGACAUUCUUUCAGUUUAUGCUUGGGUGGACAACGAUAUUGGUUAUGUUCAAGGUGAAUGUUACUGAAUCUCAGUGAUAUUCUAUCAAAGUUGAAUAGUAUAGGUGACAGUUAUAGUAAUUCUUAUUGACGAUGAAGCAGAUGCCUUUUGGUGUUUCGAACGUGCGAUGCGAAGGCUGAGAGAAAAUUUUAGGUGCAGUGCUAGUUCGAUUGGAGUGCAAUCUCAGCUGAGCACACUCUCCCAAGUAAUCAAAACUAUUGAUCCUAAACUUCAUCAGCACCUCGAGGAUCUAGAUGGUGGGGAGUAUUUAUUUGCAUUUCGCAUGCUGAUGGUCCUGUUCCGAAGAGAGUUUUCCUUUGUGGAUUCACUGUAUCUUUGGGAGCUGAUGUGGGCCAUGGAAUACAACCCAAACAUAUUCUCAUCAUAUGAAGUGCCAAGUGGUGGCGCCACACCAUCUAAUGUAAAUGACAAAGAACUAAAGCAAUACGGCAAGUUUGAGAGAAACAUUGUGAAGACAGGAUACACAGAAAAACAUGGUGCACUUUCCAUUUUUCUUGUUGCAAGUGUUCUUGAGACCAAGCAAAAGCAACUUUUAAAGGAGGCUACGGGUCUAGAUGAUGUUGUCAAGAUCUUAGGUGACAUAACUGGAAAUCUGGAUGCUAAAAAGGCAUGUAAUGAGGCAUUGAGGAUUCACAAAAAGUACCUCAAGACUCUGAAGCAAUAGAUAAUUUCCUGGGAUAUCAACUGUUUAAGUUUUGCACCCAGGUGUUGGUGAGUUGGUGACAACAUGGGACCUUCAAUUUUCUCAUCACCUUUUUUCUGUCAUGUUUUCUUUGUACUUGUUUCUCUCUCUCUCUCUCUCUCUCUCUCUCUCUCUCUCUCUUAAAACAGAGAAGCAAUGUGUACCUAAUUGGGCAUCGGCUUGCAUGCUUGUCCCAUAUAGAAAACACAGAGAGAGAAGAAAACAGAGAAGCAUGGUGUCAUAUUAUGUAAAGUCAAAUUAACUAUGGUUAUAGAAUAUAAAAUUUUGAACGAAAUGCUUCUUUGGCAAUGGCAUUAUGAGCUUGCAUUA